AGUGAACGCUGGCGGUAGGCCUAACACAUGCAAGUCGAACGGCAGCACAGUAAGAGCUUGCUCUUACGGGUGGCGAGUGGCGGACGGGUGAGGAAUACAUCGGAAUCUACUUUUUCGUGGGGGAUAACGUAGGGAAACUUUCGCUAAUACCGCAUACGACCUACGGGUGAAAGCAGGGGAUCUUCGGACCUUGCGCGAUUGAAUGAGCCGAUGUCGGAUUAGCUAGUUGGCGGGGUAAAGGCCCACCAAGGCGACGAUCCGUAGCUGGUCUGAGGGGAUGAUCAGCCACACUGGAACUGAGACACGGUCCAGACUCCUACGGGAGGCAGCAGUGGGGAAUAUUGGACAAUGGGCGCAAGCCUGAUCCAGCCAUACCGCGUGGGUGAAGAAGGCCUUCGGGUUGUAAAGCCCUUUUGUUGGGAAAGAAAAGCAGCAGGUUAAUACCCCGCUGUUCUGACGGUACCCAAAGAAUAAGCACCGGCUAACUUCGUG
rnacentral:rRNA from 1 species